rnacentral:rRNA from 1 species
GACGAACGCUGGCGGCGUGCCUAACACAUGCAAGUCGAGCGACGAACCAGGGCUUGCUCUGGGGCAAAGCAGCGAACGGGUGAGUAACACGUGGGUAACCUACCCCUAUAACCGGGACAACCCGAGGAAACUCGGGCUAAUACCGGAUGUGCUCACUGGACUUCGGUUCAGUGCGUAAAGGAAGCUUCGGCCUCCGUAUCGGUAGGGGCCCGCGGCCUAUUUGUUUGUUGGUGGGGUAACGGCUCACCAAGACCGCGACUGGUAGCUGGUCUGAGAGGACGAUAGCCCACACGGGGGGUGGGACAGGGCCCAGACUCCUGAGGGAGGCAGCAGAGGGGAAUCGGGCGCAGUGGGGGAAAGCGUGACGCAACAGCGCCGCGUGGGAGAAGGAGGCCUUGGGGUUGUGAAGCCGGUUCAGGGGGGGUGAAGGUCUGGCGGUGAAUAGCAGGCCGGAGUGACGGUACCUGCAGAAGAAGCACCGGCUAACUACGUG